AACAAACGCUGGCGGCGUGCCUAACACAUGCAAGUCGUACGAGAAAGUUGGCUUCGGCCAAUGAGUAAAGUGGCGCACGGGUGAGUAACGCGUGGAUAAUCUGCCCUUCAGUUGGGAAUAACUCAUCGAAAGGUGGGCUAAUACCGAAUAACGCUGUGAGACUUGGGUCGAUCAGCCAAAGAGAGCCUCUGCUUGCAUGCCCUCGCUGAAGGAUGAGUCCGCGUACCAUUAGCUAGUUGGUAGGGUAAUGGCCUACCAAGGCGACGAUGGUUAGCUGGUCUGAGAGGAUGAUCAGCCACACUGGAACUGAGACACGGUCCAGACUCCUACGGGAGGCUG
rnacentral:rRNA from 1 species